AAGGUGUCCCCAAGAACUUCGGAGCUCAGAACAGGUGAUACUCACUCCUCCUUUGGGGAGAGGCCGUGGGCAUGGCUUCACUUUUCAGCUGGAUUAUAAAGGAUGUGAAGUUAGCCUGACUGAGCAGAAGGGGAGGGAAGACAGCACUCCAGGAAAGUGGAACGAACAACAGAGUCCAAAGGGCCCUCCAGCCUACCCACUCCCAAGUACCUGGAAGAAGCUCUCCACGUGUUCCCUUGGGGCCUCCUCCCGGAGUGCAGGGUCAUACAGGUUGAAGGCCCAAUUAAGCCUGUCAUCUACAGUUCCCCGAAGAAUCACGGACAAACCAGCCACAAAGUCCUGGGAAGGAGGCAGGAGGGAGCUGUGUCCUCGGGUACUCUUCACCCAACUCCUUCUCUGGGUUUGGCCUGGAGAUCCUGGCCCUGAACUCCAGGAAACAGGCUUCCCUGGCCCACCUCGCCCAGCUCACCUCAAAACUGACCGAGCCAUCAUGGUUGGUGUCAAAGGCAUUGAAGAGAAAAGUGGCAUAGGUGCUGGAGUCUGCAGGGUGAGUGUGGAGAAGUUGGCUUCCACACAGGAGAGGACUUCCUCCCUCUAAGGAGCUCCCCAUACCCCCCAUCACCUUGGCAUUCCCAGCUCCUCCAGAAUCCCUCCCUCCCUCAGCCUAGAGAAGGACAACUGCUUCCCCUUGGGCCUUGUCCCCUCACCUCCUUGAGGAAAGAACUGGGAGUAAAUCUGCUUGAAGUUCUCCUCAUUGACAAUUCCGCUGGGACAUUCCUGGAAGGAGAGGGCACCAGGCUGAGGGCAGAGACAAAAUCCCCUUCCGUUCACCGCCCCCACCCUCCAUGGCCCAAGACUCCCAGGGAGGGGGAUAAUCUUCAAGCCUCCAGAGGACUCACCACGUGGCUCAUGUGAUGGGAGGGAAGACUUCUUUCCCAGUGCACAAAUAAAAAACAUGGAACGAAACUGAAAAAAA
rnacentral:lncRNA from 1 species